UGCAGAGCUGGAGGCGCUGCGAUUGGAGAAGCAGAGCUCACAUGACCAACUGCUGGAGGCCAAGGAGAGUCUGAAGCAGCAGCAACACAAGUUAUCAGAGCUGAUGGAGAUGAGUCAGCGGAAAGACGACGUCAUCAACAAGCUGAAGAACGAGAGCAACGCCGACAGGGCUCUGGUGGAGCUUCUGAGGACGACGAGAGGAGAGGAGGAGAAGGAGGAGAACAGGAAAUGC